GCACCCACCUCUAGGAACUGGGGGUGCUUCUUGAGCUCGUGGUCGAAGAUGAAGUAGUAGCUGAGGGUGCCGAAGAGCAGGUAGAGGGCCAGGGCGCCCAGGUUGGUGAUGACAAAGAGGCUGAGGAGCUGUCGGCAGGGCUCGCCCUCGGGCCACCCCGCGGGGUACACGUAGGGCGUCAGCAGGUGCUGGUCGGCGGCUUCCAGGACCAGAUCCAUGGUGGCUCCUGCGGGAAACAGCAAGGGCUGGUGUGACAGGAGGUGGUGUCAGCCCUGUCUGCCCAGCCUCUGCCCAGCUCCGGGCCACUGGGGUCACGUUUUUCCACCUCCAGGGCCUGGGACAGAGACUCCAACAGAGAAGCACAGCAAGGGCUUGGCUCAAGUCAUUCCUGCUCAUCUCUCUACCCAGAUUCCUGCAUCCAUGAACAACCUCCUGCUCCAAGUGGGCAGCACAGCACUGGGAACACUUUUACCUGGAGAGCUCUAAGGUCCUGGUCCUUCUUAUCUUAGAGGCUCCAGAGGUGGAUAUUCCAUGUGUUGGAUGCACAUUUUGGAGCCAUCUGGGAUAGAUGCAAGAUCUUGAUGAGGAAAAAUCCAUAGCUGUCCAUGGAGGAAUUCCUGGCUCUUUCCAGUUGCCAUCUCAGAGAAAACCAUGCAGAGAGUCAGACCCUUCAUUCUUCAUGGAAUCAUCUUUAUUUAACCAUUAAAAUAAAAUAAUUUUGGGUUCAGGUGAGGGAAAUUUUAUUAGUGUAAGUUAAAAAUCAGGUUCAGCAGGGAAAAAAGUUUCACAU